AUUGAACGCUGGCGGCAUGCCUUACACAUGCAAGUCGAACGGUAACAGGUCUUCGGAUGCUGACGAGUGGCGAACGGGUGAGUAAUACAUCGGAACGUGCCCGAGAGUGGGGGAUAACGAAGCGAAAGCUUUGCUAAUACCGCAUACGAUCUCAGGAUGAAAGCAGGGGACCGCAAGGCCUUGCGCUACGGGAGCGGCCGAUGGCAGAUUAGGUAGUUGGUGGGAUAAAAGCUUACAAAGCCGACGAUCUGUAGCUGGUCUGAGAGGACGACCAGCCACGCUGGGACUGAGACACGGCCCAGACUCCUACGGGAGGCAGAAUUGGGGAAUUUUGGACAAUGGGCGCAAGCCUGAUCCAGCCAUGCCGCGUGCAGGAUGAAGGCCUUCGGGUUGUAAACUGCUUUUGUACGGAACGAAAAGACUCCUUCUAAUAAAGGGGGUCCAUGACGGUACCGUAAGAAUAAGCACCGGCUAACUACGUGCCAGCCGCCGCAGUAAAAC
rnacentral:rRNA from 1 species